CACUUAACCCCAACUGCCUAGUCCUUACUGCUCUUCUGUCUUAGAACCAAUACUUACUAUAGAUUCUAAGAGUUCAGGUAAGGAGUUAAUGAGAAGGAGAGGAAGAGAGAGAGAGAUGGGGGGGAGGAAGGGAGAGAGAGAGAGAGAGAGGCAGAGGGAGAGAGAAAGAGAAAGAGAAAAAGAAACAGAGAAAGAGUGAGAGAGAGAAAGAGAGAGAGAAAGGGAGGGUAAAAGGGAAAGGGAGAGGGAGAGAGAGAGAGAGAGAGAGAGAGAGAGAGGCAGAGGGAGAGAGAGAAACAGAGAAAGAGUGAGAGAGAGAAAGAGAGAGAGAGAGAGAAAGGGAGGGUAAAAGGGAAAGGGAGAGGGAGAGAGAAAAAGAGAGGGGAAAAGUGGGGGAGAGAAAGAGGGAGAAAGGUAGAAGGGGGGAGAGAAAGAGGGAGAGAAUGAGAGGGGAGCAGAAUAAAAGAUAUCACCAAAGAAAUGUAUAAGUAAAAAAAAAAUUGGUUGAGUAUGUGAGUGAAGUGAGGGAUCACUGUGUACUUCUCUUCAAGUCAAGAGACAUGCAGAACGGCCCCCACAGGUGGACCUCUUGGGGUGAACUUCUGGGAUGAUUUUGGCAAAAAUGGGACAGGAUAAGCAGGAUAUUCCAUCUUUUUUUGUCUCCAUGCCUUUGCUUUGGAAAUCCCCUGCCAUGACUGGGAUGCUCCUUCUUCACCUCCUUCUCUGGCCAGCCAAUUUAGAAUUGGUAACUAUCCUAUCUACCCAUAAUUGCUUCCUGUUUUUUUUUUUUCUGUUUUCACCCUUGAAACCAGCAUAGAAAAUCUCAUCCUGUUCCCCCAAUGACAACUUCAUGAAUUAGUGACUGACCAAAUGGAUCCAAAUGACAGCCCCUGGGAGCAUAGAUUACACCCUCCACAUCCCCUUUGUGAG
rnacentral:lncRNA from 1 species